UAACUGAGCAGUUGUCCCCGUCACUCACCCACCAGAGUGCCUAGCUCAGAAAUGGUACUCAGGAAAUGGCUUGACUCCUGAAGGCAGAGGCAGCAAACUGGGAAACGUGCUGACUCUGCCCUCUGUGCCCAGGCACCACAUUUGUCCAGGCAGCUUGCUUAGCAGGGCCUGGAGCUGACAGGGGCUCAACCAACGCUGGUGGAAUAAACCACCAGACCCAUCUUGGCUUGGAGACUUGGGAUGGAUGAGCUGACACCUCUGAGCCUCAGUUUCCUCCUUUCUAAACUAGGGAUGAGGAGCUUAUUUAAGUUGGGUUGCCCUCCAGAGGCCUGCUCUGGCUUCCUGCAUAUUCCGUCAUUCAGAGGAGAACCCUG
rnacentral:lncRNA from 1 species